CGGAGCGACUUCCGCUUUGCUGGGUCCCAUCGCUAAGGGCCCGGCUACUUCCGGUUGGCGAGGCGCUCAGUGGAACGUCAGAGCUCAGGCCUUGGGCGGGGCCUCUUUCCCUGCCGGGUGGCCCAGAGCGACAACGCUACUCGAGACAACUGUCUUGGUCUGGCCACUUGCACUGAGCAUUGUCUACGCAGCCGGCCAUCCGCUUUAACCUCCCGGUGGAUUCCAGGGAAAAGCUUCUCCCACAAAUGCUUGGAUACUUCCCCAGGAGUACACUCAGGAUCCGCACAGCUCCAUAAACAGCAUAACCCACAUAGCUGACUCCAGAGCCCAGGAAGGACUGCUUGGCUCAGUCUGGCAAAGGCAGCCCUGUCCACCCUUUCCUCGCCUCAAGAGUCUGGAAGAGAAGAGAAAGUGUGUUACACUGCUUUCCCCUCCUGGCAUAUAUUCCUCCCUACAUGUGAAGAUGGACAUUCUCCUCGGUGCUCUGGGAGAGAGGUCUGGGAGCUGGCUUGGCAUUCUCUGCAGGGCAAGUCCCUUAGGAGGGAUGGAGUCUCCUGGGAAAGUCCAGUUUGAAGAGGAAAAAUCAAUGAAGAAAAAAGCAUAUGUAUGGGUCUCUCUUUGUUCCAGCUGCUUCUUUCUUGCCACUGCCUGUCACAAAGGUCGGAAGAGCUAACCAGUGACCCCUCCUCAGCAUCCAUGGGGAGUCAGUUCAUAAUGCAGCGCUGGUGCUAUAGAAAUGGUUCUCGUGCUUUAUUGGUCAACGAAUAAUAACAAGAAGUCUAUCUGUACAGUCUGGGCACAGAUUUUUCAUCCACACAUUUUUGGUCUGUGGCUGGCUCAGUCCACAGAUCUCAGACUUACAGAUACGCCUCACCUCUCAUUGAUGAAAUCAUUGCAUGACUACAGUGAUUCACAAAGGAGCCUCGCCAGUUGUUGCUGUUUUCUUCUUUGAUUAUUGCCAACUUGACCCAAGCUAGCAUUAUCUUGGAAGAGGAACCUCAGUUAAGAAAAUGCCUCCAACCAGAUUACCUGUUGGCAAUUGUCUGUAGGGCAUUUUCUUGAUAAGUGACUGAUAUGAGUGAGCCCAGCUCAUAGAGGACAAUGCCAGCCCUGGGUAGGUGAUUCUGAAGACAACAAGCUGAGCAAGCCAUGAACAAGUGACCCAGAAGAAGCAUUCCUCCAUGGGCUCUGCUUCAGGUCCUGCCCAAGGUUUCUGCCUGGGGUUCCUGGCCUGAGUUCCCUCUAUGAUGGAUGGAUUCUAACUAUAAGCUGAAAUAAAACCUUUCCUCACCGGG